GGCUGGUCAACUGUCUUCGACAACAAUGUAAACAACAGUUGUCGGACUGCAUAUCCCAGGAUACAACACAGUCACACAAUUCGAAAAGUAAGCGGAGAUCAUUUUUUUAAGAAACAUCAAACUAAACAACAAAUUUGCAAUGAGUUUGUGGUUAUAUUCGGAUAUAGUUUGUUUUUGAGAGUUUAAAUAGGGUAUAGCUUGUUAAUAGUGAGCUAAAAGACCGUUUAAUCCCAUAGAAACGUAAUCACGCGACGGUUACGAUACACUCAUGCAACACAGAAACAGCCAUUCGGAUCAUAAUGUAGUUUCGUUAAACUGUUGUGUCUUUAUUUAGACAUUCAUGGAUCCUACAGUAUGACGAAAUUCCACUUGCGUCCUAUGUUUUUAUCAAGCAGAACAGGUUUGCACGAACGCUAUGAGAUCAAGCGCAGCUGUUUUCACAAGACAGAAUCCAUUUCCUCCGGAUCCCCCUUUGUCCAGGAGCCACUACAGUCCAUCAAGAUCCAAAAAAAUCCCAAAGCAACAAAGAAGACUGGCCUUGAGUCCUGUCCGCUUUACUGAGCCACCCAGUCCUUCAGAUCCUCCCACUCAGGCGUUACCUUUGAGGACCGAGGACCAGGUCUGCCAUGAAAGAUCACGUAUUGUCCUGCUCUGCCCUCCUACUACUGAACGCCAGCUGAGCUACUCCGAGUCUUGGCCUUCUACUGACCUGAGUUGCUCUACAGACAACACUAACACUUCGGCCUGCUCUGAAGCUCAGAUGCAAGCCAUGAGAAGCAUGGUUGCGCCAACGACAAUUGAGGCAAAGGAACCCUCAGUUCUGGCAAAGUACAUUGAACGCUUCCGCUUCGGAAAGCCACAGAGUCGAGAAGAAAGACACCUUCAGGCAACUGAGGGAGAAGAUGACCAGCCGUUUUGGUGGAUGCCCACAUCCCCUCCAUCCAGUUCAACACCAACACAACCAUCAGAGAAAUAUAUCAGAGAACCACUAGAUCUCAUGAACGAUGGACCCGCCAGCACCCAGAGAACCAUCUCAAAGCCACUGCAUGAUGAAACCACGCUGUCUCCAGCUAGACUCAUGCUUGACCUUAGCACGCUGACAUUAUCUGAAUCAUCCCACUGUGAUCAAGAAGAACCAGAGAUACUGCAGCUACAGGAGCGGGCCAGCCGUUUACUGCAGAGGAGUUCUGGGGGUCUGGGCUGCUCUGAUUUCUCUUCCCCCGUAAGCACUGAUGAGCCGGUCCGAAGACCAGUCGUGUCCACCUUAAUGGGCUCAACCAACAUGGUUCUAGAGCCCGGUAUGUGCGAGGGAACGUCUUUUCCUCCUCUUGCGGUUGGUUCUGAGGGGUCAGGUAUCCGUCGUGAAGAUGACAUCCUGUUUCAGUGGCGACUAAGAAGGAAGAUGGAACAGGCCAGACAAUGGUGUCAGGAGGCCCCUUCCCACAAUUCUGUUCUCCAUAUACCUCUAUCACACAGUGUCGGACCAAACCAGAAGGCACACUAUAGCACUUUAAACCGCACACCUCAUCAGAGAACAAACCUCUCAUUCACACCGUUCACCCUCGCUAGCCUCGAUCCUCCAGUUCCUGAGUCUCCUCUCCCUAUGUCAAGCCCCAGCAUCUCCAGACUCCGGCCCGAUGUCACCCACGAGCAACCAGACCCCGAUAUCCAACCCAAACCCCUUCCCCAGCAGAGACUGUCCUCCAGGAAAGCUGUCACAAAGAAUCUGGAAACCCCUUGUGCCCAACCACAACAUCGCAAGCCAAUCAGAACACAAGUCGGCAUCCCAGAGACCACAGCAGAUCACCGCAGAACGCAGAGGUCCUCUUCUCCAUCUCCACAGACUUCUGAUAGCACAGAGGAGCGGUGGCCGGCCCCUCAUCGUAAGAAAGACACAACAGGCAAAGAAAAGACUGAAAAUGAGAGACAGGAGAAGAAGAUUGCACCUUUGCGCCAAAAGAAAAAAUCUGAACGACAUAGUGUCGAGCGAGGGAGCAGUGCAGUGAGGGUCAGGUAUGCCAGGGGUCAUGAAGGGGUCAGUCGCAAACCUGAGGAGCCGAGUGGAAACAGUAGGUGGCAGGAAGAUGGUCAAAGGUCGACACGAGGAGGACGGUCUGGAAAUCAAGCACCACCACCCUCACCUAUACACAAUGCUCUGGGACAGGUUGUCUCUGAGGUGCUUUUUGCUGGUACAGACUCAUCAAGCCAGUCCAAGACUCCAAGUUCUUCAGAUUCCCCAGUAUAUACCCCACCUCCACCCCCACAAUCCCCUGUGGUCUCUUGUUCCGGUGUGCAGCAACCCUUGGAGGUCAUAGGUCAGCUCAUGCAGGAUGCAGAAGGUAAGAAGGCCUCAUGCAUUCAUUUAAACUAGCUGUAAAACUGCCUGAUGAUGUGUUUUUAACAGGUCACGUGUUUUAGCCUGAGCCGGUUAUAAAUAGCAGGAUUGACCCUUUAGAGUGUGCUUAGAACAAUAGAAUGCAUGUUACCAUUAAUAUAAGUGACGUGACAUGUGGCCAAGUAUGGUGACCCAUACUCGGAAUUAGUGCUCUGCAUUUAACCCAUCCAAAGUGCGCACACA
ensembl:lncRNA proline and serine rich 3